UUUACAAGGAACAUCUUCGGAGAUUCAGUUUGCCAAGAUAUCACUUGUAAUUUGUAAAAAUUAUAAACUUUUAGUUUUUGACGUGAUAACGUCUUAUAAAGCCGAUGAACUCCGGCUGAGCACGCACGAAAAAUUGUCACGUUCCGCCUGAGCCGAGCGUGCAAGAACCGGCCAACCACCGUGCGAGGAAAAUCUUCUAUAAUAUCAAACAGUGUAUGUAUGCACGCGGGUUCCUGACCGCUGUUAGCCCCAGCCUUCUCGGGGCGCGCCUUGUGCUGUGGUCGGUCGGCGUGGUGCGGGUCCGGUGAGAGCCGUGCUGGCCUCGCGGUCAGGGGUCAUGGACCUGGUGCCCGGGUCACAGACAGCCGGAGCAGCGACAGCAGCCGGCGACAGGCAGGGUGUUGGAGCUUCGGCAAUGAACUAGCGGCCAGGGCCACCGACCCAGCGUAGUCGCCGCCUCAGCCCCUCCACCGCUACCGGCUGACGGGGACAGACAGCCGGAGCAGCGACAGCAGACGGCGCCCGCUCAGUCCUCCAGGAUCUGCAUGCGGAAGAGCUUGCCGUGGCCCGCCGCGCGCGCUCGACCCCCGCCGUCGAUGUCGUCGUCGGAGCCUUCCUGCGGCAAGUCCUGGUACUCGUCCAGCUGCAACCAUCACACACCGCCGGCACUGCGGCUGCCCUGGUGUCCACUCACGAGGCGGCGAACAUGCGUGCAACAUGAUAUUGUAAUUAUAGAGAACUUCGUUAAAUCUACAAUGUAACGUUCCUAACUUCACGAUUGCAAAUAUAUAUAUAUAAAGAAUAUAAAUAUAAUCCACCAA